UGGAAUUCCAAUGGUUGGAGCUGAUAUAUGUGGUUUUUCAAGUAACACUACUGAAGAGCUUUGCCGCCGCUGGAUUCAGCUUGGAGCAUUCUAUCCAUUUGCAAGAGACCACUCUGCUAAGGACACAACCCCCCAAGAGCUCUAUAGUUGGGAUUCAGUUGCUGCAGCGGCCAAGAAAGUCCUUGGGCUCCGAUAUCAGUUACUUCCGUACUUUUAUAUGCUUAUGUACAAGGCACAUACAAAAGGGACUCCCAUUGCACGACCCCUCUUCUUCUCUUUCCCUCAAGAUGCCAAGACAUUUGAUAUCAGCACGCAGUUCCUUCUCGGUAAAGG
rnacentral:misc_RNA from 1 species